rnacentral:lncRNA from 1 species
CCAGGCUCCUGUGAUACCAGAAGAAUCUGUCCAUUAAGGCUCUUUCUGUGGGAAGCUUUGAAUGGACAAGCCACGCUGAGAAAACCUUCUAAGUCUGGUCUGAUGUACUGUUUAGCAUGGCUUUAAGACAGACAUUGAGGCUGGCACUGCUAGAUAAUAGCAUAGUGACCUUUGGUCAUUGGUCCAAAUUAUCUUCAUCAGUCAUCCUGUGACACCCCUUGUUUCUUGUAAAGGAGACUCGAAAGUGCUGCUUCGGUUCACUGUCAUCUGAAGAAGGGCCACUGGGUCCAUUAUUUACAGCCUCUGGAACUUGUUGAGUGAGUUUAUCAUCAUUACUUGAACAGAACAGGUCCCUGACAGUAGAGGCCAAGCAGGGCAGAUACUGAUGGUUGCUGCUGUCCCAGAUAAUGGGGAUCCUCAGAGUAAGCUCUAUGCCAAGAGGAAAAUGAGAAUGUUCUGGAAUGGCAUCAACUGAGUUCACUAAUGUGCACUGACCUCCACCAUACAGUCAGCCUCCUGUUGUUUGGUUUCUCAUGCUUCUGGCUUCUUUGUUUAAUUGCCAUGCCCUCAUAGAGAGGCUCAAUGGCAAGACAGCAGAUCUCCACUGUGGGCCUUUGUUAGCAUCUCCAAGUGACAAAUGUGCAAGUGGGUGAAAGAUCCUGAAAUACAGCUCUCGCGUCAGCUGCCAUCACUUUGGACGCUCUCCUGGCAGCAACUCCGCUCAGCCUCCUCGCUCUGCUGUUUUCCUCUUGCCCUUCUCGAAGCCAUUUCUUUCAGUAAUGAUGAGAAUCUUUCUUUGAGUUCAGCUCCCUGCAGUCACACUCUUCCUGGCUUCUCUCUGCUUCUUAUGGUGGGGUAGGCAUUUGCAUUCUGGAAACUCUGGAAGCACUAGAGGGCUCAAUGUACCUCUCACAGUUUCAGAGGGGCGUGUAUACACAUUUGUACACCCCAUUCGAUCUUCAGGCUCCACAACAGCAAAAUGGUGAUACGUAUCUGUUCAGCACGGCUACAGAGCUGAACAGAGCCACCCAGCUGGGCAGCAGAACCAUUGCCCAUGUUCUACAGAUGAGAAGGUUUACCUCUAGCCUGAUUCCCUGUGCUACCGCACAAGCAAACGAUUGAUUUCAAUUCCUCUGUAUUCUCAGCUAUGAAAUGGGUCCCUCUGCCUCUCCCAUUAGCUCUGCAAAGCUUCCUUUCUCUGAGUUGCUGCUCUGGACACAAGGACUUUCCUAUUGCUUCUCAGUACUUGAGGCUCUCCUGGAGUGGCACGAGCCCAUAUGGUGGUUUCCUCCCACUGUAUGAUCAUUUGUGUUCACCUGCUCAUGUCCCCUCUAAAAAUGAAUUCCUGAGGGGGUGUGCCGAUGGCUAAAUCAUUUGCUCACGCUGUCUCAAAGUGAGAAUGAAUGAAGAAAGGAACUCAGAAGUUGUUGGUGGGCAGCAGCUUGUCUAUAUUCCCACCGACCCCACUGCUUACUCCAGAGAGAAGGAAAAGAUAUUUGACCAUCGCACUGGAAGAUCUUUCAUCUUGGCCAAUGAGGAAAGAAUGCAAGUGAUUGCAUAAUUCUGGGUACUCCUGCUGGAAGACAAUUCCACUCAUCCUGCAUCAGUCCACUUCUUUCCAACUGCAUAUGGAAUCCCAGUUGAAGAAAUCUAGGAGUUAAGGAUGGCAAAAUCUCAGCACCCUUGAAUUUCUGAGUGUCUCUUUAAGCCAUUAACAGCUGCCCUGCAAGAAGGACUUCUUCCUCUUCUCUCCUCUGCACUUGCUUGUCAAUGACUGAACUGGAUGCAGCCUGCCCUUGCAGGGAGUACAGGACUUGUCCACAGACUUACUUGACAUGCACUAACUGCUUGCCAGUGCUGGCAUUUGCAAUAAGCCUUGGAUAAGUCAUUUUGUUUCAUCCGUAAAUGCAGUAUUUUUGUGCUAUGAAGCUAAUGGGUUGAUGAAUGCAAAAUGCCUGGUGAAGUAUUUCAGGCUACAACAAGCACUGAAUUGGUGAUAAACCUGUUGAUUGUGGCCAUGGCAGUUGAAAGCGGCCUCCCCUAUAACCUGCUGAGAGUGAACAACCCUGGCCAUAUUUGCACUAAGAAGGGCCACAAGGAUGAACGAAGGAUUUGGCAAAGGAAGUGGCUUGUAUGUCAGGGCUGGCAUGACAAUAGACCAGCAUAGCCUGUUUUAUAAAGAUGUUAUGUCUCAAUUAAAUACAUGAAGUUCUCCAUGCUCACAAAUUUCCUAGAUUUGGGUUAGCUUCAUAUUGAAACUAUUUGAAAAAGAUUUUGUUUGUUCUGAGUAUAUUCGGGCUUUUUGCCUUGUCAUUAUUCCAUAGACAGCAUGGUUUAGCAUUUACUUAUACAGUUUGCCUUGUAUGAAAUAUUAUAAAUAACCUGGAGAUGAUUUAAAGCAUACAAAAGGAUAUGUGCAGAUUAUAUGUAAAUACUAUGUCAGUAUUUGGAGUCUGAGAGUCUUGUGGGGGUCCUGGAACCAGGCUCCUUUAUCUACCUAAGAAAGAUUGUACUCUCUUUUUAAAUGGGAAUAAAAUCGCAAAGGAAGCUGCCACUCUGAAGGGCAGUUUCCUGUUCAGUUCUAGAGGUGACUCAGCAGAGCAGAGGCUAAGGCAGUAUGGAUAGAUAGCAUUGAAUAAAGCAGCUGCAUAGAGAAAUCAGAAGGGGAGGAAAGGAGGGAGGGGGAAGGGAUGGAAGGGAUGGGAGAGAGAGGGAGACAGAGAGAGAGAGAGGCAGAGACAGAGAGAGGCAGAGACAGAGACAGAGGCAGAGGCAGAGGCAGAGGCAGAGGCAGAGGCAGAGGCAGAGGCAGAGGCAGAGGCAGAGGCAGAGGCAGAGGCAGAGGCAGAGGCAGAGGCAGAGGCAGAGGCAGAGGCAGAGGCAGAGGCAGAGAUAGAAAGAAAGCAAAUACAACCUUGAAGCUUUUAGGAAUGGUAGCUUGGUCUCUGGGCCACCUUCCAGUUCCUACUCCAGUCCGCAGGAGUCUUGGCUGUAUUUUGUUUUCUAUCCUUUGAUUUCAGUAGACGUCCUUUGUGUGACUUUAUAAUACAUGCCUGCAUUUUGAAGCUGAUUUGAGGGACUCUGUUCUCAUCACCAACAAACUAGCAGUAGGCAUACCUCUUUCCAGCUAAACUAUGAGAUAUUUAAGUAAAAGGUCAUCACUUUUUUCACACCUUUAAGGUAUUCAAACAUACAGAAAAAUGAGGUGCAUUAUGACCUAACACAUAGUUUUAAUUAUUGUUAUAUUAGUUUUGCUUUAAUGACAUGAUGUUUUUAAGAGAAACAAGACACGUUAGUAUAGAUGAACCUUUCAGAUACUCAUCUUUAUUCCAUCCUUUGUCCACCUGUAAAGCAGCAAGGUUUUUGGAUUUAGUAUCUAUUGUUCACCCAUGACAUGGUUUUAUUUUGCAUUAUAUUGCAAAAAUGGAAUCAUUCUGAAGCUAUUUUUAUUAUAUUUUGGGAAUUAUUUAAUGCAGUUAUAAAACACUCAGCAAUAUUAUGUGAUUAAAUUAGAGUUUGUUUUUGUUCCUCUUGAUCAUUGUAUCUGCCUCAGAAGUUUUGCUGUUAUGGUCAAUGCUUCAAUAAAUUUUCUUGGACAUUUUUUUUAA